rnacentral:rRNA from 1 species
UACGUAGGGAGCAAGCGUUGUCCGGAAUCAUUGGGCGUAAAGAGCGCGUAGGCGGUCCGGUAAGUCGGUUGUGAAAACUGGGGGCUCAACCCUCGGAUGCCGGUGGAUACUGUCGGGCUUGAGUACGGAAGAGGCGAGUGGAAUUCCUGGUGUAGCGGUGAAAUGCGCAGAUAUCAGGAGGAACACCAAUUGCGAAGGCAGCUCGCUGGGACGUUACUGACGCUGAGACGCGAAAGCGUGGGGAGCAAACAGG